CCUCGUCGUCUGCUCUUUGAGCUGUGCUCGCAGCUCUUGUGAAUCACAGGCACGGUGCGCCGCCCAGCUCAGAGACCAGACGCAGAGGCU
rnacentral:pre_miRNA from 1 species